CUAAGAUCAAAGUGUAGUAUCUGUUCUUUUCAGCUUAAUAUCUGAAAGUUCCCUCAUUGAGGGACCAGUAUAUUAAACUGAUUUUUGUAAAACGACGAGAUGUUCGGGGCUCGCUCCACUCUCGUCACGGGUCGGCCCGGCAUUGCAGUGCC
rnacentral:snRNA from 1 species